rnacentral:rRNA from 1 species
AGCGAACGCUGGCGGCAGGCCUAACACAUGCAAGUCGAACGAAGUCUUCGGACUUAGUGGCGGACGGGUGAGUAACACGUGGGAACGUACCUUUUGGUUCGGAACAACUCAGGGAAACUUGAGCUAAUACCGGAUGAGCCCUUAGGGGGAAAGAUUUAUCGCCGAAAGAGCGGCCCGCGUUAGAUUAGCUAGUUGUGAGGUAAUGGCUCACCAAGGCGACGAUCAGUAGCUGGUCUGAGAGGAUGACCAGCCACAUUGGGACUGAGACACGGCCCAAACUCCUACGGGAGGCAGCAGUGGGGAACCUUGCGCAAUGGGCGAAAGCCUGACGCAGCCAUGCCGCGUGGAUGAUGAAGGUCUUAGGAUUGUAAAAUCCUUUCACCGGUGAAGAUAAUGACUGUAGCCGGAGAAGAAGCCCCGGCUAACUUCGUGCCAGCAGCCGCCGCCGUAA